AUUGAACGCUAGCGGCAGGCUUAACACAUGCAAGUCGAACGAGUGGCGGACGGGUGAGUAAUGCUUGGGAAUCUAGCUUAUGGAGGGGGAUAACUACGGGAAACUGUAGCUAAUACCGCGUACCAUAGGAUGAGCCCACGUGGGUUUAGGUAGUUGGGGGGGUAAAGGCUCACCAAGCCGACGAUCUUUAGCUGGUCUGAGAGGGUGACCAGCCAAACUUGGGCGUAGACACGGCCCAGAAUCCUACGGGAGGCAGCAGUGGGGAAUAUUUCGAAAUGGGGGCAACCUGACGCAGCCAUGCCGCGUGAAUGAAGAAGGCCUUCGGGUUGUAAAGUUCUUUCGGUAGCGAGGCGUUAACUACAGAAGAAGCACCGGCUAACUCCGUGCCAGCAGCCGCGGUAAUUC
rnacentral:rRNA from 1 species